rnacentral:lncRNA from 1 species
GUUUUUUAAUUUCUUUGUAGUUAUCUAAAUAAUUAGGAUUAAAUGUAUACAGGUCCCUACAAAUAUAUAGUGAAUUAUAAAUAUAUUACUAUAAAGUUCAACUUUCAUAUAUUUUCUCUACAAAAGUUUUAAUAUUUUCAAACAUGUUACUCUGAUUUGUUACCAUUAUAGAACUGUUUAUAUUUUAAAUUAAAUGUUAAUUUUGCCAUCACAAAUAUACCUUUUCAAAAGCAACAACAACAGUAUAAUAUAAGAGAGACAAAAAUGUAAAAUUAUCUCAUAAAGUAACUAGGAUUAAGUAUUUAAUUUAUGGUUAACUAAAGUUUUCUAACGAAUUCUAACGACAGAGACAUAUUUGAAAACAAUAGAACUUUUAUAAAGACAAUAUAUAAAAGUUGAAAUUUAUAGUUAUAUAUUUGUAAUUCACUAUAUCUGCAUGGACCUUUAUGAAAUUAACCUC